UGAGGAAUAUUGGUCAAUGGGCGCAAGCCUGAACCAGCCAUGCCGCGUGUAGGAAGACUGCCCUAUGGGUUGUAAACUACUUUUAUAUGGGAAGAAACCCCUCUACGUGUAGAGGCUUGACGGUACCAUAAGAAUAAGCACCGGCUAACUCCGUGCCAGCAGCCGCGGUAAUACGGAGGGUGCAAGCGUUAUCCGGAAUCAUUGGGUUUAAAGGGUCCGCAGGCGGUCAAUUAAGUCAGAGGUGAAAUCCUGCAGCUUAACUGUAGAACUGCCUUUGAUACUGGUUGACUUGAGUUAUACGGAAGUAGGUAGAAUAAGUAGUGUAGCGGUGAAAUGCAUAGAUAUUACUU
rnacentral:rRNA from 1 species